GCUCCAAGUCGUGGCUUUCUUACAAACUGCAAUGGCUUACUGAUCUUACUCCUCACUGAUCUUACUCCUCACUGGUCUUACUCCUCACUGGUCUUACUCCUCACUGGUCUUACUCCCCACUGAUCUUACUCCUCACUGGUCUUACUCCUCACUGGUCUUACUCCUCACUGGUCUUACUCUCUUACUCCUCACUGGUCUUACUCCUCACUGGUCUUACUCUCUUACUCCUCACUGGUCUUACUCCUCACUGGUCUUACUCUCUUACUCCUCACUGGUCUUACUCUCUUACUCUUCACUGGUCUUACUCCUCACUGGUCUUACUCCUCACUGGUCUUACUCCUCACUGGUCUUACUCUCUUACUCCUCACUGGUCUUACUCUCUUACUCCCCACUGGUCUUACUCUCUUACUCCUCACUGGUCUUACUCCUCACUGGUCUUACUCUCUUACUCUUCACUGGUCUUACUCCUCACUGGUUUUACUCCUCACUGGUCUUACUCCUCACUGGUCUUACUCUCUUACUCCUCACUGGUCUUACUCCUCACUGGUCUUACUCUCUUACUCCUCACUGGUCUUACUCUCUUACUCCUCACUGGUCUUACUCUCUUACUCCUCACUGGUCUUACUCCUCACUGGUCUUACUCCUCACUGGUCUUACUCUCUUACUCCUCACUGGUCUUACUCUCUUACUCCUCACUGGUCUUACUCCUCACUGGUCUUACUCUCUUACUCCUCACUGGUCUUACUCUCUUACUCUUCACUGGUCUUACUCCUCACUGGUCUUACUCCUCACUGGUCUUACUCUCUUACUCCUCACUGGUCUUACUCUCUUACUCCCCACUGGUCUUACUCUCUUACUCCUCACUGGUCUUACUCCUCACUGGUCUUACUCUCUUACUCUUCACUGGUCUUACUCCUCACUGGUUUUACUCCUCACUGGUCUUACUCCUCACUGGUCUUACUCUCUUACUCCUCACUGGUCUUACUCCUCACUGGUCUUACUCUCUUACUCCUCACUGGUCUUACUCUCUUACUCCUCACUGGUCUUACUCUCUUACUCCUCACUGGUCUUACUCCUCACUGGUCUUACUCUCUUACUCCUCACUGGUCUUACUCUCUUACUCCUCACUGGUCUUACUCCUCACUGGUCUUACUCCUCACUGGUCUUACUCUCUUACUCCUCACUGGUCUUACUCUCUUACUCCUCACUGGUCUUACUCUCUUACUCCUCACUGGUCUUACUCCUCACUGGUCUUACUCUCUUACUCCUCACUGGUCUUACUCUCUUACUCCUCACUGGUCUUACUCUCUUACUCCUCACUGGUCUUACUCCUCACUGGUCUUACUCUCUGUAUUUAUGGAGAAAACAGUGCAAACGAGGAGCUGAGUAGUGUCACAUAUUCAAACUGGAACCGAGGAGAAGCAUAACAGGUGGUUGUAUGUCUGCACGUCUGUGGGUUGUGCCGGGAAAAAAGAGGGCCUGUUCUGCA
rnacentral:lncRNA from 1 species